AGCGAACGUUAGCGGCGCGCCUAACACAUGCAAGUCGAACGGUAACAGGCCGCAAGGUGCUGACGAGUGGCGAACGGGUGAGUGAUGCAUCGGAACGUGCCCAGUUGUGGGGGAUAACUGCUCGAAAGAGCAGCUAAUACCGCAUACGACCUGAGGGUGAAAGCGGGGGAUCGCAAGACCUCGUGCAAUUGGAGCGGCCGAUGUCAGAUUAGGUAGUUGGUGGGGUAAAGGCCUACCAAGCCGACGAUCUGUAGUUGGUCUGAGAGGACGACCAGCCACACUGGGACUGAGACACGGCCCAGACUCCUACGGGAGGCAGCAGUGGGGAAUUUUGGACAAUGGGCGCAAGCCUGAUCCAGCAAUGCCGCGUGCAGGAAGAAGGCCUUCGGGUUGUAAACUGCUUUUGUCAGGGAAGAAAUCCUCUGGGUUAAUACCCCGAGGGGAUGACGGUACCUGAAGAAUAAGCACCGGCUAACUACGUGCCAGCCGCCGCCGUAAAAC
rnacentral:rRNA from 1 species